rnacentral:rRNA from 1 species
GACGAACGCUGGCGGCGUGCUUAAUACAUGCAAGUCGAACGAACAGGCCCUGCUUUUGUGGGGUGCUCGAGUGGCGCACGGGGGUGUAAAACGUGAGUAAACUGUCCCUGACUUUGGGAUAACUUCAGGAAACAGGGGCUCAUAUCGGAUAGGAGCUCCUGAUGCACGGUGGGCGUUGGAAAGAUUCGGUGGUUCGGGCUGGAAUGGCGGGUUAUCAGCUUGUUUGUGUGGUAGUGGCUUACCAAGGCUUUGACGGGUAGCCGGCCUGGGAGGGGGACCGGCCACAUUGGGACUGAGAUACGGCCCAGACUCCUACGGGAGGCAGAAGUCGGGAGUAUUGCACAAUGGGGGGAAGCCUGAUGCAGCAACGCCGCGUGCGGAAUGACGGCCUUCGGGUGGUAAACCGCUUUCGCCUUUGACGAAGCGUGAGUGACGGUAAUGAGUAAAGAAGCACCGGCUAACUACGUG